rnacentral:rRNA from 1 species
UACGUAGGGUGCAAGCGUUAAUCGGAAUUACUGGGCGUAAAGCGUGCGCAGGCGGUGAUGUAAGACAGGUGUGAAAUCCCCGGGCUCAACCUGGGAACUGCCUUUGUGACUGCAUGACUAGAGUACGGUAGAGGGGGAUGGAAUUCCGCGUGUAGCAGUGAAAUGCGUAGAUAUGCGGAGGAACACCGAUGGCGAAGGCAAUCCCCUGGACCUGUACUGACGCUCAUGCACGAAAGCGUGGGGAGCAAACAGG